AAGAAGUGACUCGAAAAAGUUUCAUAAAUUUGAUUACAGGAAUUACCACGACUUAUGGCCAAACGAUUUAUUUUGUGCAUACAUUGUUUGGCCAAGAUAAGAGUAAAAUGCAAGUACUUUUAAUUGUUUGUAACAGAGGAACACAAAUCGGAUUUUCAUUUCGAAAGUUACCUCGAUUUCCGGCCAAAAUAAAUUAAUUUUGUGCAUACAUUGUUUGGCCGAGAUAAGUAAAAUGUAACUACUUUUAAUUUUUUGUAACAGGGGAACACAAAUCGGAUUAUCAUUUCGAAAGUUACCUCGAUUUCUGGCCAAAAUAAAUUCAUUUUGUGCAGACAUUGUUUGGCCGAGAUAAGUAAAAUGUAAGAACAUAUGUUCAAUUUUGAAAUUGUAACAGGGGAACACAAAUCGGUAAGAAGUGACGCCAGAAAGUUCUAUACCUGCGAAUCUAGGAGAACACGAAUCGGUAGGAAGUGACUCGAGAAAGUUUCAUAAUUGCGAUUACAGGAAUUACCUCGACUUUUGGCGAAACGAUUUAUUUUGUGCAUACAUUGUUUGGCCCAGAUAAAAGUAACAUAUGGAAUUAUUUUUAAUUUUUUUAACAGGAGAACACGAAUCGAUAAGAAGUAACGGGAGGAAGAUUCAUAAUUGCGAUUAUAGUAAUCCCUAAAAAACCUUUUUAAAAAAAGAAAAACGGUGGAGUUCCGAAAAGGGUACGGCUCCGAUUUUAAUGUAACUUUGUAAAAAGCUUCCUCUCAGGUUGAAAUGAAAGUCUUUAAAAGGAUUUUUGGCGACUCUCAUAAAAAGGUCAUUUUUAAUAAGAAAUUCUCAGAAAAAUAACAAAGAUCUCUAUUUGUAUUUAAG